rnacentral:snoRNA from 1 species
UGAGCAUCAAUGAUGAGCUUUAUCUGAAUUGUUAUCCUUGCACUUUGAUUGUUAGUGAAGAAAACCCAUGGGGAUUCACAACUCUGAGAUGCUC